AGUAUCAUCAACAACUCGUAUGCGAACAUUGAAAUUUGUAGAACUAUGAAAAACCAUCAAACUCUUAGACAAAUAGAUGUCAAGAAAAAUAGACAUUUUCAAUUUAUGUAUCUGCUAUGAAAAUGAGGUUGAAAAGAGCUCUCAUUGGCAUAUUUUACAUAAUUGCCCCCAAUAAAAGUUCAACGUUAGAAUUCAAAAUGAAGUGGCAGAAUGGUUUCAGUUUGAAUUGACUUGAGAUUUGAAACUUCUGGAAGAUUUGAAACUUAGUCACGAG